CCUUCGAUACCUCAGUUGGUAGAGCGGAGGACUGUAGUGUACAAAGGUGGACAUCCUUAGGUCGCUGGUUCCUCUCUGGCUCGAAGGA
rnacentral:tRNA from 1 species